UGCGCCCGGAGCCCGGAGCUCCCGGCGGCCGGCGUUGCGGAUCUGGGGGGGUAGCCUGCUGUCCCCCGAGAGCCCACCCCCUGCUCUCCCGCGGCCCAGGUGCCGCUGCGCCCCGCCCCUCGCCCCGCCCCGCGCUCGGGGAGUCCCGCUUCCGGGUGCCUCUGGUGGCCAAGGGGGCGCUGCGGCACCAAACAGGAGCGCUAGGGAAGGGGCAGGCGAACCUCCCCAAAAGGACUGGCGGAGCCCCUUAUCUUCAUGUGUGCAGGAUCCCACCGUGCCCGGGGUCAGCCCGUCGCCCCCAAACGCAAGCAAGGGUGCAUGCACUCUUCAGAGGGAACAACUUUGGCUCUAGGACCAAAGGGGUGCAGGACACUAGAGACUCAGUCGGGAUGCGGGCACUCUGUGACACCACCCCCACACACAGGAGUCAGAUGACCUGGAAGGUCAAAUGCUAGAAGGAAUGCAUCUAUGCAGCCUUCCACCCACCCUCCACCGAGCGCGGUGGGACGAUCACCGCCCCUGCAAGUCAGCCACAGAAUUCACAGUUGUCACAACAGAAGAAGAGCCAGGUGGCAUCUGGCUGCCGUUUACCUGUCCCGGAAGUGCCUGGUGGCGAUCAAGUUCCAGACAGGUCGUUUCCUCUGUAUACACAGCCAGGACCCUGAGUGGCCUCCAAGCAUAGGACAGAUGACCUUCAAGGACCAGCCAUGAUUUUGCCACAGGCAGGAGGGUUCUGUGUUUUAAUUGCCUGGAGGUUCCAUCUGUGGCUCUUGGAGCGGCGCCUGGCCCUGCACCCAGGCGACUGACCUACUGGUUCUGCACGGUUGGAAACGAAGUGGCUUCGGUAACAAAGUAACAAAGAAGCCCAGGGCGGCGCGGCACAGAAAAGCAGACUGGCUUGAAAUUUCCUACGGCUGGAGCCUCUCAACAGACCGAAGCAUCAGCUGAGGCACCUAGAAAUUCAAAGGUGUGUUUACCUCUGGGCAGGGAAGCAUUCUGUACUCAAACACGCACGAAGCGGGGCGCCUUUCCUUCUGAGAGCUGGCGCCGACCACCGUGCUUCCGCAAGAACGUCUGAAACGCGGUGGUUCUGUCUGGGCCGAGCUGGGAGCGUCUCACUUCACAGAAUCAUGAGAUAAGUUCUCCAAAGCAACGCUGACAUUACUGGUGUAAGGGUGGAUCCCAAGUCAUUGCCUUAUCUAGGGAGCUGCCACUUCUACAAGGAUGUGACUUGCUUGGCAAGACACUUUAUUUUUCUUUUUAAUUUAUUUUUUCUCAAUAGGUUUUUUUUUUUUAGACACGAUUUCACCGUGUAGUUUUGGUGCCUGUCCUGGAUCUCGCUCUGCAGCCCAGGCUGGCCUCGAACUCACAGAGAUGCCCCUGGCUCUGCCUCCCGAGUGCUGGGAUUAAAGGUGUGCGCCACCGCCGCCCGGCAGGAGACACUUUGAGAUGUCCCUGGGCAGAUCUCUCUACCCUCUGAGCUCAGGCAACCCUGUUCCUACCCUCCUUUUAGCUUAACGAUCCAGAGGACCCCGGGACCAGGCUGAAUGAAGCCGUCUCCAGCUAAAACAGAGGAAGGCUUUGGUGGUGUUGCGGGGGCGGAGUCGAACAUAUUAUUCUCUGCCCUAUCCACUUUGCUUUCUGUUCCCUUUUUACGAGCUUUCGGCGUUUUCAAAUUAAUCUUGGAAUGGUCGCCGAAGGCAGGAAGCCCGCGGUGCCCAAGGAAGGAGAAAGUGCAGACCGAUGCAGAGAAAGAAAUGCCAGCGAGGGACCCCACGGUGGAGAGACAGACACUGUGACAGAGCCACUCUCAAGAGGCUGGCGAGGCGUGUGCGUGUGCGCGGGUCUCCGCGUUGGCACCAUCUGCCGAUUCCUCAGGAGGACGGAACGAGCCAGCGAGCCAUGAAGAUGCGAUUAUGUAACGCUGGAGGAUUGCUUGUUUUCAAGAGACGGAGGCAAAUGGAACGGAUUGAUUUGUUUGUCAGAGUCAUGUCACUAAAGAAGACCGGUCCCCUCCUCUUCCUAGAGGACCUCAGCAAAGAAGGGAGUGAUUCCAGACACACAAGACGCCUGAUGACCCCCCUGGGUUGGACCCCUGGGACCCACAGGCUGGAAGGAAAAAAAAAAAAAAAACCUGACUUCAGCAAAUUGUCCCUUGACCUCCACAUGUGCACACAGAGGCAAAGGCACACAGCUUCCCCCUGCGGAAUAAAUAGAUGUAUAAGGAGAAAAAAAAAAAUGCAAGACCACAAUUCAUUCCAUUCAUGAAAGCAAGGCCAUUUCCAGAGCGGUGCUGGCAAAUCCUUUUCUGGUUUCUCUGCUUGAAAAAUGGACUGUUCCCCUGCUACCUAAAAGGGCACAGCCAUAGUAAGGGACGUAAUUGCCUCUGGCCCUUGCGAGCUUCGGAUCCUGCCUGCUUUGCCUGGCCUCCCUUGCUUUCCGGGACAUAACAUCUAAUCCUGAGACCCAUGCGGUCCUAUUACUAUGCAGAACUCUAAACAUGUGCUUUGAGAGAGGAGGCAAGCCUUCCCUUGUUAAAGAUUUAUUUUUAAUUCUGUGUGUGUGUGUGUGUGUGUGUGUGUAUGUGUGUGUGUGUGUAUGUGUGUGUGUGUGUAGGACAAAGGACAAUGUAUUAAAGCCGGUCCUCUCCUUCCGACGUGAUGUGUCCAGGGCACCCGCCAUCAAAUUCUGGUCUUCAGGCUUGGCGGCAACCGCUCUACCCAUGGAGCCAUCGUAGUGCCCCGCCCCCCUCCCAUCACCUUUAUUCAACAUGGAGAUUAAACCUAUAGUAUCGGAUCCACCUGCCCGCUCUUCUCCAUGCUGCUUUCUGCCCUGGGGCUCCGCUCCCUCACCCUCCAGCUCUUGGGAGCAGCAGGCAGAAAGGGUAUAAAACGAGGAGAUGAAUUCCCCCAGCUCCUGCCCUCCCACAGUGCCUCAGGUUGGUGGUGUCUUCCCAUAGCAGGUCACCCCCCCCCCCACACACACACACGAAGGAGCCUGGUCCCCAGAACCCUCUCUUUCUGGGCUCUGUAACUUCUUCCGAGACUUCACAUCUAAGACUGGGGAAGGCUAUUUCUAGCUCCUUGGGCACUGUACCACUCCUAGAGUUCCUUGUACCCUACCCAAACUUCGUCAAUCGUCCCGUGAUUAAACCCUCCUCUAAUCAUCCAAUUUGAGCAUGCCAUCUGUUUCUUAUGUAGACCCUGUCUACACCGACCACACCUCGUCAGCCUGUCGUAGGCCCUACACUAUGUUAAACUUAAAAAAAAAAAGCAACAUUAAUAAUACAGCAUGCUAGGCUUUGUGUAGAUCAUCUGCGCAUUCACCUUUUCCCAGAGCUAUAAUAACAACGUAAAGAGAAAGUCUAAUUUCUCUUUACAACAUAAUUGUGCAGUGGAGUUUGUAUGAGCUAAAUAUAAUCCGGAGAACAAGCUUUUUCGUGCCAUCAAAAUUCAUGUUAACAACUAUAAAGAGAACACUCCAGAACUGAUGCCCCUGAGUCAAGAUUUAACGGGAAAUAAAUUCCAGUAUUUAAAUCCA